rnacentral:rRNA from 1 species
UACGGGGGGAGCAAGCGUUGUUCGGAUUUACUGGGCGUAAAGGGCGCGCAGGCGGUCGUGACAAGUCACUUGUGAAAUCUCCGGGCUUAACUCGGAACGGUCAAGUGAUACUGUCGGACUAGAGUACAGAAGGGGCAACUGGAAUUCUCGGUGUAGCGGUGAAAUGCGUAGAUAUCGAGAGGAACACCUGCGGCGAAGGCGGGUUGCUGGGCUGAUACUGACGCUGAGGCGCGAAAGCCAGGGGAGCGAACGGG